CGUAGGGGGCAAGCGUUGUCCGGAUUUAUUGGGCGUAAAGAGCGUGUAGGCGGCUUUGCAAGUCCGUUGUGAAAACUCGAGGCUCAACCUCGAGACGCCGGUGGAAACUGCAAAGCUAGAGUCCGGAAGAGGAGAGUGGAAUUCCUGGUGUAGCGGUGAAAUGCGCAGAUAUCAGGAAGAACACCCGUGGCGAAGGCGGCUCUCUGGGACGGUACUGACGCUGAGACGCGAAAGCGUGGGGAGCAAACAGGAUUAGAUACCCUGGUAGUCCACGCCGUAAACGAUGGGUGCUAGGUGUGGGCGGUGUCGACUCCGUCCGUGCCGAAGCUAACGCAUUAAGCACCCCGCCUGGGGAGUACGGCCGCAAGGCUA
rnacentral:rRNA from 1 species